UAGAGAGAAAAGGAACAACUUGAUAACAGAAGUAGAUCCUGGGUAGGUUGCAAGUCUGGAUUGAUCUUAAUUGGGAAGAACAAUGAAGACAUCUCCCUUUGCUUUAUUCAUGUUCUUGUGGCUGCAGCUGGACUGGGUGAGCCAAGGAGAGAAGGUGGAGCAGCAUCCUUCUACUCUGAGUGUCCAGGAGGGAGACAGCGCUGUUAUCAACUGUACUUAUUCAGACAGUGCUUCGAACUACUUCCCUUGGUAUAAGCAAGAAACUGGAAAAGGUCCCCAGCACAUUAUAGACAUUCGUUCCAAUAAGGAGAUGAAUCAAGUCCAGAGAUUCAUUGUUGUGUUGGAUAAGAAAGCCAAACACUUCUCCCUGAACAUCACAGUCAUCCAACCUGGAGACUCAGCUGUCUACUUCUGUGUAGCCAGUACACAAUGCUUCCCAGACACCUGCAGCCUGUACUCAAACCUGCCACUGGGCUGAGCUGCUUCCUUUGCAUAGACUUCCCAGUAUAACAUUUGCU